UCCCUGAGACUUAGAGUCUCCUGAAGGAACGUUGAAGACGACGACGUUGAUAGGCCGGGUGUGUAAGCGCAGCGAUGCGUUGAGCUAACCGGUACUAAUGAACCGUGAGGCUUAACCUUACAACGCCAAAG
rnacentral:rRNA from 2 species